rnacentral:siRNA from 1 species
AUAACGUGGGUUCGCUUCUGC